UCCAGACUCCUACGGGAGGCAGCAGUGGGGAAUAUUGCGCAAUGGGCGAAAGCCUGACGCAGCGACGCCGCGUGAGGGAUGAAGGUCUUCGGAUCGUAAACCUCUGUCAGCAGGGAAGAACGGUCACUGUGCUAAUCAGCAGUGAAUUGACGGUACCUGAAGAAUAAGCCACGGCUAACUACGUGCCAGCAGCCGCGGUAAUACGUAGGUGGCAAGCGUUGUCCGGAUUUACUGGGUGCAAAGGGCGUGUAGCCGGGCUGACAAGUCAGAUGUGAAAUUCCGGGGCUCAACCCCGGACCUGCAUUUGAAACUGUUGGUCUUGAGUAUCGGAGAGGCAGGCGGAAUUCCUAGUGUAGCGGUGAAAUGCGUAGAUAUUAGGAGGAACACCAGUGGCGAAGGCGGCCUGCUGGACGACAACUGACGGUGAGGCGCGAAAGCGUGGGUAGCGAACGGGAUUAGAUACCCGGGUAUU
rnacentral:rRNA from 1 species